rnacentral:tRNA from 1 species
GCCUUCGUGGUGUAGUGGUCUGCAUGUUCGACGCGUAACCGAGAGGUCCGUGGUUCGAUUCCCGGCGAAGGUG